rnacentral:tRNA from 1 species
AAGGCUUUAGCUUAAUUAAAGUGUCUGUUUUGCAUGCAGAAGAUGUGGGUUAGUAUCCUGCAAGUUUUA